rnacentral:rRNA from 1 species
GACGAACGCUGGCGGCGUGCCUAAUACAUGCCAGUUGAGCGAUGAAGAUUGGUGCUUGCACCAAUUUGAAGAGCAGCGAACGGGUGAGUAACGCGUGGGGAAUCUGCCUUUGAGCGGGGGACAACAUUUGGAAACGAAUGCUAAUACCGCAUAACAACUUUAAACAUAAGUUUUAUGUUUGAAAGAUGCAAUUGCAUCACUCAAAGAUGAUCCCGCGUUGUAUUAGCUAGUUGGUGAGGUAAAGGCUCACCAAGGCGAUGAUACAUAGCCGACCUGAGAGGGUGAUCGGCCACAUUGGGACUGAGACACGGCCCAAACUCCUACGGGAGGCAGCAGUAGGGAAUCUUCGGCAAUGGACGAAAGUCUGACCGAGCAACGCCGCGUGAGUGAAGAAGGUUUUCGGAUCGUAAAACUCUGUUGGUAGAGAAGAACGUUGGUGAGAGUGGAAAGCUCAUCAAGUGACGGUAACUACCCAGAAAGGGACGGCUAACUACGUG